ACACCAGCGUCACAAGUGGCAACCGCUUUUAUUUGGCCUAAAGCGUCCGUAGCCGGUUCAGUAAAUUUUCUGUGAAAUUGUUGGGCUUAACCUAACGUCGUGCAGGAAAGACUACUGGACUAGGGACCGGGAGGCGUCAGAGGUAUUCCUGAGGGAGCGGUAAAAUGCUAUAAUCUCAGGAGGACCCCCUGUGGCGAAAGCGUCUGACGAGAACGGAUCCGACGGUGAGGGACGAAAGCUAGGGGAGCAAACCGGAGUAGAUACCCGAGUAGUCC
rnacentral:rRNA from 1 species